rnacentral:rRNA from 1 species
ACGUAGGAGGCGAACGUUAUCCGGAUUUACUGGGCGUAAAGCGCGUGUAGGUGGUUCUGUAAGUAGGGCGUGAAAGCUCCUGGCUCAACUGGGAGAGGCCGUUCUAAACUACAGAACUAGAGGAUGGUAGAGGGAGGUGGAAUUCCAGGUGUAGCGGUGGAAUGCGCAGAUCUCUGGAGGAACACCAGUGGCGAAGGCGCCCUCCUGGAACAUUCCUGACGCUCAGACGCGAAAGCUAGGGUAGCAAACGG